rnacentral:sRNA from 1 species
UUGGUUAAGGUGACCCUCACUGGGUCCUAGUAAGUAGCCUCUUUGUUCGUUCAAAUGCUAGGAGUCCCUAGCCCGACAUUGCAAAAACUCGUGAACCCUAAUCCCUCUUUUGUUUCUUUCAUUGGCACAUAAUGCUUUAUGGUUCGGUUCGGAAGUUCGAUUGAGGCGAUUAUAUUGAUGUUUAAGAAGAUUCGAAGUGGUAUAAGGAGCUGAAUCUUACCAAACCUGGUGACGCAAGUCUCCCAUAAGGAAUGAAUUCAAUGUAACAACCAAAGAAGUUCUUAGUCAAGCAGAUUUCAGGGAGAAGAGCACGGUUGAGAGAAUGAGAAGUGUUACUCAGCAAAAGUUUUCGAACUUGACUUCACAUUUUUACAACAAUGGCAGGCACUGCCACAAGGCCUUUGCAAUCAAAUGCAACAUCAUCAACAUCAUCAAGACUUUUCUAUUCACUUGGUAAAUCUUCUACUCAGCAAUACAAGAAUUGAAGAUUCUUUAUUUGGGGUUUAGAGCCAUCGCCUUGAUGAUAAAUGGCUAGUUAGUGGUGCUGGUGGAACAAUUCUUAGAUAGUUUUUCAUAGAUAACCAAUUGUAUAAAUAGUUUAAUUUACUAUUAUGUUUACCAUAUUAUGAAUUGUACUACUUAUUUAUGAAUAUAUUUGACUUUUAAAUGUGAAAUGCUUGAGAUGUAAUUUGACAAUUGUGUUUGACUCUUUUAAGUUAUAUGUAACUCUUAGUUA